UACGUAGGGCGCAAGCGUUGUCCGGAAUUAUUGGGCGUAAAGAGCUCGUAGGCGGUUUGUCGCGUCUGCUGUGAAAACCUGAGGCUCAACCUCGGGCUUGCAGUGGGUACGGGCAGACUAGAGUGCGGUAGGGGUGACUGGAAUUCCUGGUGUAGCGGUGGAAUGCGCAGAUAUCAGGAGGAACACCGAGUGGCGAAGGCAGGUCACUUGGG
rnacentral:rRNA from 1 species